rnacentral:misc_RNA from 1 species
AAGGCUUAGCGGCGGAUGAAUCGGCUCAGAUAGCGAUGAAGAUCGUAGCAAACUGCGUUAAGAGGUGCGAACUGCGGUAAUCUGCGAGUACUUUAUCAUUGAAUGCACGCUGCACCGAACUUUCGUUCGGUGUGUUCGAUUGAGUUGCGAGAUAAAACCUCAACCCAGUACACUGGUUUUGGAGAGCCUAGUAGGUGUCCACUAGCUCUCUCAAAUGUCGGCUUCAGGAAAGUCACGAUCAUCUUCUCGCUCUUCGGGCGGUAUUGAGAGAGACUAGUACUGAUCCACAUAGAAUCGAUCGUUAUGAUCCUAUCGAUUCGCACUCAACUCGAGCACGACUACCCUUGGAAUUUAAGCAUAUAAUUACGGGGAGGAAAAGAAACUAACAAGGAUUCGCCUAGUAACUGCGAGUGAAGAGCGAACAGCCCAUCCUGAAUCCGAGAUCAUUAACUUGGUCGAGGAGUUGUAGGGUAAGGUCGGUCUUUUUGUAGCGGCGCGCGGCUUGAAGUCCGUUGGAAAGCGGUCCCAUAGAAGGUGAAAGGCCUGUAAGGCUGUGCGCUGUUGCUCUAUAAAGGCUGAACCAUGAGUCGUACUAUUUGAGAGUAUAGUACUAAGCGGUGAUAUGCAUCAUCGAAGGCUAAAUAUUGAUCUGAGACCGAUAGCAAACAAGUAGCAUGAGCGAAAUUUGAAAAGAACUUUGGAAAGAGAGUUAAAAGUACCUGAAACCGCUAAGUCGAAA